ACGGAAGGCAGCAGUGGGGAAUAUUGCACAAUGGGGGAAACCCUGAUGCAGCGACGCCGCGUGAGUGAUGAAGUAUUUCGGUAUGUAAAGCUCUAUCAGCAGGGAAGAUAAUGACGGUACCUGACUAAGAAGCACCGGCUAAAUACGUGCCAGCAGCCGCGGUAAUACGUAUGGUGCAAGCGUUAUCCGGAUUUACUGGGUGUAAAGGGGGCGUAGGCGGUACGGCAAGUCUGAAGUGAAAUCCCAGGGCUCAACCUUGGAACUGCUUUGGAAACUGUCGAACUAGAGUGUCGGAGAGGUAAGUGGAAUUUCUAGUGUAGCGGUGAAAUGCGUAGAUAUUAGGAGGAACACCAGUGGCGAAGGCGGCUUACUGGACGAUUACUGACGCUGAGGCUCGAAAGCGUGGGGAGCAAACAGGAUUAGAUACCCUGGUA
rnacentral:rRNA from 1 species